AUUAUUUUAAAUUAUAUAUUGGGAGUAAAUAAAAUUUAUGAAAUCAAAAAAUUUUGGCGGUAUUUUAAGCUUAUUAGAGGAAUUUGCUCUGUAAUGGACACAACGCCUUAAUCUUACUUAAUUUAGUAAUUAAAAUCAGUUUGUAUACCACUAUAUAAAUUAUAUUGAAUAGUUAUAUUUAAAAUUUUUUUUUAAAAAAUAUAUUAAGUCAAGGUGCAUCAAAUAAUUAUGAAUGAGGUGAAUUACAUUAAUUUUAAUGUAAUUUUUUUUGUUGAAAGAAUUUUUAGGAUUUAAUAGUAAAAUACUAAUAUUAUGAGUAUUUGAAUCAAGCUCUAAAAUAUGCAC
rnacentral:rRNA from 1 species